UACGUAGGUGACAAGCGUUGUCCGGAUUUACUGGGCGUAAAGAGCGCGCAGGCGGUCGAUCAAGUCGAGUGUGAAAGCCCCCGGCUCAACUGGGGAGGGUCAUUCGAUUCUGAUCGACUCGAAGGCAGGAGAGGGUAGUGGAAUUCCCGGUGUAGUGGUGAAAUGCGUAGAUAUCGGGAGGAACACCAGUGGCGAAGGCGACUACCUGGCCUGUUCUUGACGCUGAGGCGCGAAAGCUAGGGGAGCAAACGGG
rnacentral:rRNA from 1 species